GCUUAAAAAACUGAUUAUAAUUUACCAGCUUAAUUAUGGAAGUAGGUGAAAAUCCUACGCUGUCCUCGCAACGGUAUUUUUCUAAUCAGAAAUCAGUCCGACACAUAAUUUAGUCAUUUAAAUUUU
rnacentral:ncRNA from 2 species